UACGUAGGGUGCGAGCGUUGUCCGGAAUUAUUGGGCGUAAAGAGCUCGUAGGCGGUUUGUCGCGUCGACUGUGAAAACCUACAGCUUAACUGUGGGCUUGCAGUCGAUACGGGCAGACUUGAGUUCGGUAGGGGAGACUGGAAUUCCUGGUGUAGCGGUGAAAUGCGCAGAUAUCAGGAGGAACACCGGUGGCGAAGGCGGUUCUCUGGGCAUUACCUGACGCUGAGGAGCGAAAGUGUGGGGAGCGAACAGG
rnacentral:rRNA from 1 species